AUGAAGAAAGCUUCACAAUUUCCACGGUUGCAAUUGCAUCAUAACUCCAAAAGAAGCAUAACUACCGGGAAAAAAAAGAGAGAGAGAUAAGCAAGCAUUACAGCUGUAGGUAUUUAUAUUUCUUCAAGAAAAAGCGUCGGUAUUUAGAUAACGUUGAACUUUUUGGGCUUCUAAUGUUUAAGACUUGACUUCUAAAUGAAAAUAGAUCUUCUCUUAUUACUAGAUUAAUUAAGAUAUUUAUUAACAUUCAAAAUGCAAAUAGACUUGA
rnacentral:misc_RNA from 1 species